GCGACCCCAGGUCAGGCGGGGCCACCCG
rnacentral:rRNA from 2 species